AGGGCUGAAGUUUUGGGACAUACGGUAAAUCAUAGCUUGUUUUAUGAUAGGUUCUUAAUUAGGUGCAAUUGUUUGAUGCUGUUCCCAAGUUUAAUUUAUUUAUUUUCAUCUUUUAAAUGCUUAAUUUUUCCUAUGUUCAAUUUAUUUGGUGAUUGUUUUUGAAUAUGUGGUGUAUAUUGGACAUAAUUGAACUUUUAUGCGAGUGUAAUGAUAACUUAACACGUGGUCUGCAGGAAUUAUAACAUAAGGCACACUUGUAUCCAGAAAAUGUGUAGCCUUGUUUUGAAUCAAAAACUUGAUCACCUUUUGCAUGGUGCUUUCAACAGAUUUUUCGUUGAAAAUUAGUUGCUUAUGGUGUUCUGAAGCGUCUGAAUAAGUAAAUCAUGUUAACUUAUAUAAAUUUAUGCAUAUAUUUUCUGAAUCCUUUUUGGCUGGAGUUUUUACUGCUAAAUUUGAAUCACUAAAUAAAGUAUAAGUAAUACAUCUUUACAUCAAUCUGAUUUUUGAACAAAACUGUUGGUUUUUUAUGUGCCUUCAUUAGCCUCUCAUGCAUUAUCAGAUUUCUUUGGAUGUGGCCAAAUAAUUUUCAUAUAUAAAUUUUCUGAAUUUUUAAGAAUUAUGAAACUUCUUUCUGACAGUCACGGAUUCUCAAUAUUAAGUGUCAUUAAUUCUUUUUCUUUUUCUUCUCUUUUUCCCCCCUGAAAUAGGCAUGAAACCCUGCCAGAGUU
rnacentral:misc_RNA from 1 species